UUGAGCCGUAUGUGGUGAAAGUCACAUGUACGGUUCUUAGGGGAGCGUGUAGACUGGUAACAGUGUUGU
rnacentral:ribozyme from 1 species